UACGUAGGUGGCAAGCGUUAUCCGGAAUGAUUGGGCGUAAAGGGUGCGCAGGCGGAACCAUAAGUCUGAAGUAAAAGCCAUCGGCUCAACCGAUGUAAGCUUUGGAAACUGUGGAUCUGGAGUGCAGGAGAGGACAGUGGAAUUCCAUGUGUAGCGGUAAAAUGCGUAGAUAUAUGGAGGAACACCAGUGGCGAAGGCGGCUGUCUGGCCUGUAACUGACGCUGAGGCACGAAAGCGUGGGUAUCAAACAGG
rnacentral:rRNA from 1 species